rnacentral:rRNA from 1 species
ACGAACGCUGGCGGCUGCUUAACACAUGCAAGUCGAACGGAGUGGCGAACGGGUGAGUAACGCGUGAGCAACCUGCCUAUGACAGUGGGAUAGCCUCGGGAAACCGGGAUUAAUACCGCAUAGUCAUAGAUGGGCUCGCGUCUGAUUAGCUAGUUGGUGAGAGAACAGCCCACCAAGGCGACGGUCAGUAGCCGGUCUGAGAAGAUGAACGACCACAUGGGAACUGAGACACUGUCCAACCUCCGACGGGGGGCAGCAGUGGGGAAUAUUGCACAAUGGGUGAAACCCUGAUGCAGCGACGCCACGUGAACGAAGAAGGUAUUCGUAUCGUAAAGUUCUGUCCUAUGGGAAGCAGUACCAUAGAAGAAAGCUCCGGCUAAAUACGUGCCUGCAGCCGCGGUAAUAC